AGUUGCGAGUCAGUGACGAAGCAUAUGGUCGAGUGUUGUUAAAACUAAAAGUCUCUCUACUCGAUCUCUUGGAUGGUAAACUAUACGUAAACGUAUAUAUAUGUAGAGAAUUAAAUAGGGAGAAAAUAGAAUAAAAACAAAUAAAAAGAGAAAGAGAGGAAGACAAGUAACACAAACACAGGGCUCGAGAAGAGACAAGACUCUGCGGCUUCUACCCUUUUUUUGGGGACUCACUCUUCUCUUAUAUCAUUCAUUCACUCCCCUCUCCUUUUCUCCUCCACGUCAACUCUGAUUCCCACCAUCCCUUCUUACUUGUUAUAUCUUUU
rnacentral:lncRNA from 1 species